GAUGAACGCUGGCGGCGUGCCUAAUACAUGCAAGUCGAGCGAACAGACGAGGAGCUUGCUCCUCUGACGUUAGCGGCGGACGGGUGAGUAACACGUGGAUAACCUACCUAUAAGACUGGGAUAACUUCGGGAAACCGGAGCUAAUACCGGAUAAUAUAUUGAACCGCAUGGUUCAAUAGUGAAAGACGGUUUUGCUGUCACUUAUAGAUGGAUCCGCGCCGCAUUAGCUAGUUGGUAAGGUAACGGCUUACCAAGGCAACGAUGCGUAGCCGACCUGAGAGGGUGAUCGGCCACACUGGAACUGAGACACGGUCCAGACUCCUACGGGAGGCAGCAGUAGGGAAUCUUCCGCAAAGGGCGAAAGCUUGACGGAGCAACGCCGCGUGAGUGGUGAAGGUCUUCGGAUCGUAAAACUCUGUUAUUAGGGAAGAACAAAUGUGUAAGUAACUAUGCACGUCUUGACGGUACCUAAUCAGAAAGCCACGGCUAACUACGUG
rnacentral:rRNA from 1 species